rnacentral:rRNA from 1 species
GACGAACGCUGGCGGCGUGCCUAAUACAUGCAAGUCGAACGCUGAAGGAGGAGCUUGCUUCUCUGGAUGAGUUGCGAACGGGUGAGUAACGCGUAGGUAACCUGCCUGGUAGCGGGGGAUAACUAUUGGAAACGAUAGCUAAUACCGCAUAAGAGUAGAUGUUGCAUGACAUUUACUUAAAAGGUGCAAUUGCAUCACUACCAGAUGGACCUGCGUUGUAUUAGCUAGUUGGUGAGGUAACGGCUCACCAAGGCAACGAUACAUAGCCGACCUGAGAGGGUGAUCGGCCACACUGGGACUGAGACACGGCCCAGACUCCUACGGGAGGCAGCAGUAGGGAAUCUUCGGCAAUGGACGGAAGUCUGACCGAGCAACGCCGCGUGAGUGAAGAAGGUUUUCGGAUCGUAAAGCUCGGUUGUAAGAGAAGAACGAGUGUGAGAGUGGAAAGUUCACACUGUGACGGUAUCUUACCAGAAAGGGACGGCUAACUACGUG